AGUAAACAGCUGGCAGAAUAUGCAGACUGGGAAAACACAGGAGAAGCUUCUACAGGUGAUAGCGCACGAGGCAUCACAGCACUUGGCACUCCACACUGGGCAGCAGCUGCUGGCUUUACAUUGGGUGCACCUGCUGUGGACAGAGGAGGUUCUUCAAGAGUGCUCAAUGAGCAGAUGAGUUACUCAAAUAGAAGGUGCAGUAGUCAAACCUGACACUGUUAAUGAGUGCUUCACAGCAGUUCAGGAAAAACAAUGAUGAUGGUGGUUCUAGAAUUGAAAGUCCUAAGUCGCCAAAGAAAAGUCUCAAACAAAGAAUCCCAUCAGGUGCAAAUGUAAACAAAGGAGGCAGUGAGGAAUUUUUUAAUCAAGAUGUCUCAGCUGCAAGCAACCUGGAUGAAGAAGAAUUGGAGGAGGAAGAGGAGGAGGAGGAAGAGGAUGAAAAUGUCAAUGGAGAUGGUGAUGAAGACUAGGA